rnacentral:lncRNA from 1 species
GUGGUGCCCAGUGCUUCUGGCCCAAGGACCCCACUUUGAAGAAAAAGUCUCUGGUACAGUGAUUCUCAACCUUGGCUGCAUGUGAGAACUACCUGCAGGAGUUUCUGAAAGUCAGGAAGGAGAAAGGAAGAAAACAGGUUCCUGUCAACUCCAAUCCACAUAUUCAACAAAUCUUUGAAGACACAAUGGCAAAAUGGAAGCUGUCAAAAUAAAAGAGUUUCCAUCACCUGUGGAGCAAAAUCAAAUACUUGGAGGCAAAAGAAACUUGCAAGAAGAUAGAUUAUAUCCCAUUUGGAUUGAAAUGAGCAUCUCCCCACUGAAUGCUUCUAGACAAGCGUGAAAUGUGGGCAUAACAGUGACUCGUCCUUUGAAACCACCCUCCAAUAUCUCCUCCUCAAAUGAACCUUCCUGUUAUGCGAUCUGAAAAAUCCAUCCUUCGUGGCUCAAGAAGAGAUAUCCAUGGUAAUUAUGUAGGAAUUCUGUCCUCUCCUGCCCCUGAGAUGUUAAGGCUAUCCUGGCCCUCAAGAACUCACAGGAAUUGUAUCAUUCCAGCCUUUCCACUUGCCCAAGUGAUAUUGGGCUAAUAUGAGCUUCAGUUUCUUUAUCAAUAAAAUAUGAUGAUAAUUUCUAUCUCA